UUUCCGGUUGAUCCUGCCGGACCCGACUGCUAUCAGAGUGGGCUUAAGCCAUGCGAGUCAACGUAGCAAUACGUGGCAUACGGCUCAGUAACACGUAGUCAACAUGCCCAAGGGAUGUGAAUAACCUCGGGAAACUGAGGAUAAAACGCAAUAGGUCAUGACUCCUGGAAUGGUUCAUGACCAAAAUCUAUAUGGCCUCUGGAUUGGACUGCGGCCGAUCAGGCUGUUGGUGAGGUAAUGGCCCACCAAACCUGUAACCGGUACGGGCUCUGAGGAGGAACCCGGAGAUGGGCACUGAGACAAGGGCCCAGGCCCUAUGGGGCGCAGCAGGCGCGAAACCUCUGCAAUAGGCGAAGGCCUGACAGGGUUACUCUGAGUGACUUUCGCUAAGAAAGUCUUUUGGCACCUCUAAAAAGGGUGCAGAAUAAGGGGUGGGCAAGUCUGGUGUCAGCCGCCGCGGUAAUACCAGCACCCCGAGUGGUCGGGACGAUUAUUGGGCCUAAAGCAUCCGUAGCCGGUUCUGCAAGUCCCCCGUUAAAUCCAGCUGCUCAACAGAUGGGCCGCGGAGGAUACUACAGAGCUAGGAGGCAGGAGAGGCAA
rnacentral:rRNA from 1 species